rnacentral:rRNA from 1 species
GAUGAACGCUGGCGGCGUGCCUAACACAUGCAAGUCGAGCGAUUCUCUUCGGAGAAGAGCGGCGGACGGGUGAGUAACGCGUGGGUAACCUGCCCUGUACACACGGAUAACAUACCGAAAGGUAUGCUAAUACGGGAUAACAUAAGAAAUUCGCAUGUUUUUCUUAUCAAAGCUCCGGCGGUACAGGAUGGACCCGCGUCUGAUUAGCUAGUUGGUGAGGUAACGGCUCACCAAGGCGACGAUCAGUAGCCGACCUGAGAGGGUGAUCGGCCACAUUGGAACUGAGACACGGUCCAAACUCCUACGGGAGGCAGCAGUGGGGAAUAUUGCACAAUGGGCGAAAGCCUGAUGCAGCAACGCCGCGUGAGCGAUGAAGGCCUUCGGGUCGUAAAGCUCUGUCCUCAAGGAAGAUAAUGACGGUACUUGAGGAGGAAGCCCCGGCU